rnacentral:rRNA from 1 species
CUCAGGAUGAACGCUAGCUACAGGCUUAACACAUGCAAGUCGAGGGGCAGCAUCAUCAAAGCUUGCUUUGAUGGAUGGCGACCGGCGCACGGGUGAGUAACACGUACCCAACCUGCCGACAACACUGGGAUAGCCUUUCGAAAGGAAGAUUAAUACCGGAUGGCAUAGUUUUCCCGCAUGGGAUAAUUAUUAAAGAAUUUCGGUUGUCGAUGGGGAUGCGUUCCAUUAGGCAGUUGGCGGGGUAACGGCCCACCAAACCAACGAUGGAUAGGGGUUCUGAGAGGAAGGUCCCCCACAUUGGAACUGAGACGCGGUCCAAACUCCUACGGGAGGCAGCAGUGAGGAAUAUUGGUCAAUGGACGAGAGUCUGAACCAGCCAAGUAGCGUGAAGGAUGACUGCCCUAUGGGUUGUAAACUUCUUUUAUACGGGAAUAAAGUUAGCCACGUGUGGCUUUUUGUAUGUACCGUAUGAAUAAGGAUCGGCUAACUCCGUGCCAGCAGCCGCGGUAAUACGGAGGGUCCGAGCGUUAUCCGGAUUUAUUGGGUUUAAAGGGAGCGUAGGCGGGUUGUUAAGUCAGUUGUGAAAGUUUGCGGCUCAACCGUAAAAUUGCAGUUGAUACUGGCGACCUUGAGUGCAACAGAGGUAGGCGGAAUUCGUGGUGUAGCGGUGAAAUGCUUAGAUAUCACGAAGAACUCCGAUUGCGAAGGCAGCUUACUGGAUUGUAACUGACGCUGAUGCUCGAAAGUGUGGGUAUCAAACAGGAUUAGAUACCCUGGUAGUCCACACAGUAAACGAUGAAUACUCGCUGUUGGCGAUAUACGGUCAGCGGCCAAGCGAAAGCAUUAAGUAUUCCACCCUGGGGAGUACGCCGGCAACGGUGAAACUCAAAGGAAUUGACGGGGGGCCCGCACAAGCGGAGGAACAUGUGGUUUAAUUCGAUGAUACGCGAGGAACCUUACCCGGGCUUAAAUUGCAACUGACUGAACCGGAAACGGUUCUUUCUUCGGACAGUUGUGAAGGUGCUGCAUGGUUGUCGUCAGCUCGUGCCGUGAGGUGUCGGCUUAAGUGCCAUAACGAGCGCAACCCUUAUCGAUAGUUACUAGCAGGUCAUGCUGAGGACUCUAUUGAGACUGCCGUCGUAAGAUGUGAGGAAGGUGGGGAUGACGUCAAAUCAGCACGGCCCUUACGUCCGGGGCUACACACGUGUUACAAUGGGGGGUACAGAAGGUAGCUACACGGCGACGUGGUGCUAAUCCCGAAAGCCUCUCUCAGUUCGGAUUGGAGUCUGCAACCCGACUCCAUGAAGCUGGAUUCGCUAGUAAUCGCGCAUCAGCCACGGCGCGGUGAAUACGUUCCCGGGCCUUGUACACACCGCCCGUCAAGCCAUGAAAGCCGGGGGUACCUGAAGUACGUAACCGCGAGGAGCGUCCUAGGGUAAAACUGGU